AAGUAAAUAGCUUAAAAUAUAAAAGCAUAACCUUGAAGAUGUUAUUAUUAGAAAUAGAUUUUCUUUUACUUA
rnacentral:tRNA from 1 species